UUGGCAAGAGGUGUGAAUGUCUCAUGAAAACAUGAUCUUGACUUUAUUCCACAGAUACAAAAUGAGGACCUUAUGCAGCCAGGAUGAGAAUGUGGGACUCUGGUGUUCCAAUCCAGGAUUCUUCCUGCUGGAGGUGGUGCUACCAUAAUGGAAACUAGACAUCUACCAAGAGCUUGAGGACUGAGGAGCAGCUUUGCUUCACCAGGUGUGCCCUUGAUGAGGUUCUGCAUCCCUACAGGCCUAAAAUGGAUUCACCUGAUCAUGGACUGAAACCUCCAAAACCAUGAGCCAAAGAUAAACCUUUCCUUCUUUGUGUUGA